rnacentral:rRNA from 1 species
CGCGCCGACCGGGUGAUGCCCCGGAAGCCCGGGCGGGCCGUCGCUGCGUCACGCUGCUCGCCCGCGGGCGCCCGCCCUUGCGCGCACGUCUUGGCGCCGGGUUGCCAGCGGUGUCCGGCUAGCAGGGACCGCCGCGGGGGGUGCAACCGUCGUCCUGAGCCGUCCGCCGCGUCCCGGGUGAGCGGGCAUGCAUGGCUUCGUCCUUGGGGAGAGCGUCGCGCUCCGGCAGG